GUGCAAUACAGGAACCCCUUUUCCUCUAAAUUGUUGGUUUUAAAAAUUACAAAUUGCAUACAUCUAUUAGAAAAAGUAGAUGUUGUGUGAUUGCGAGUCAGUACAACUUUCCGCCAGAGCUCAACAUGACGUAUAGAAGUCACCAUGUAGCCUAAAAACCAAUACCACAUUUGCGAUUUAUAGAAAGGCUUCAACACGACAAAAUUACAAACAAUUCAAAGGAAAGAACCAAUGGCCUGUUUUAUGUACAACUUAAAUAAAAGAAAAAAAAAUAUUAUUUAAAGAAACAAAUGACCACCACUUAAUAUCUUCCUACCUUAGGACUGGCACAUACAAAAUGUGUUUGCUUUAAACAUGUUUACAGACGAA
rnacentral:lncRNA from 1 species